AAGUCGUAACAAGGUUUCCGUAGGUGAACCUGCGGAAGGAUCAUUAACACGUAUCCAAACGUUAAACCCCCCUGUGAACAUUCAAUGACUGGCUCUCCUAACCCGUCUUCCACCAGCAAUCCCUAGUAAAUCAUUGUUGAACAGAUAUUUGAUUUAGGGACUUCUGAGGCACGAGAAAUUAUAGUUGGGAUUGAAGCCGUACCUUAAUUUAGCUUGUACUUCUGUAAGGCCUGAAAGUGACUGAGCAGAAGGCCCCGAGCCCCGUUUUGGACUCGAAGGCUUCCAUAGAGGACAUCACGUCCGUGGAUUGAGCGUAGGGUCACCAAGCCCCCUUAUAACUCCUAGUUUUCAAGUAGAGAUGAUUUUCAUCUCAAUAAAAAACGAACAACUGUUAACAAUGGAUAUCUAGGUUCUC
rnacentral:misc_RNA from 1 species